rnacentral:rRNA from 1 species
GAUGAACGCUGGCGGCGUGCCUAAUACAUGCAAGUCGAGCGAACGGACGAGAAGCUUGCUUCUCUGAUGUUAGCGGCGGACGGGUGAGUAACACGUGGAUAACCUACCUAUAGGACUGGGAUAACUUCGGGAAACCGGAGCUAAUACCGGAUAAUAUUUUGAACCGCAUGGUUCAAAAGUGAAAGACGGUCUUGCUGUCACUUAUAGAUGGAUCCGCGCUGCAUUAGCUAGUUGGUAAGGUAACGGCUUACCAAGGCAACGAUGCAUAGCCGACCUAAGAGGGUGAUCGGCCACACUGGAACUGAGACACGGUCCAGACUCCUACGGGAGGCAGCAGUAGGGAAUCUUCCGCAAUGGGCGAAAGCCUGACGGAGCAACGCCGCGUGAGUGAUGAAGGUCUUCGGAUCGUAAAACUCUGUUAUUAGGGAAGAACAUAUGUGUAAGUAACUGUGCACAUCUUGACGGUACCUAAUCAGAAAGCCACGGCUAACUACGUG